UAAAAGAUAAGCUAAUAUAAGCUAAUGGGCUCAUACCCCAAUAAUGAAAGUAAACUCUUUCUCUUUUUA
rnacentral:tRNA from 1 species